rnacentral:rRNA from 1 species
AGCCGCCGCGGGAACACCGGCGGCCCGAGUGGUGAUCGUGAUUAUUGGGUCUAAAGGGUCCGUAGCCGGUUGGUCAGUCCUCCGGGAAAUCUGAUAGCUCAACUAUUAGGCUUUCGGGGGAUACUGCCAGACUUGGAACCGGGAGAGGUAAGAGGUACUACAGGGGUAGGAGUGAAAUCUUGUAAUCCCUGUGGGACCACCUGUGGCGAAGGCGUCUUACCAGAACGGGUUCGACGGUGAGGGACGAAAGCUGGGGGCACGAACCGGAUUAGAUACCCGGGUAGUCCCAGCCGUAAACGAUGCUCGCUAGGUGUCAGGCAUGGCGCGACCGUGUCUGGUGCCGCAGGGAAGCCGUGAAGCGAGCCACCUGGGAAGUACGGCCGCAAGGCUGAAACUUAAAGGAAUUGGCGGGGGAGCACAACAAACCGGGUGGAGCCUGCGGUUUAAUUGGACUCAACGCCGGACAACUCACCGGGGGCGACAGCAAUAUGUAGGCCAAGCUGAAGACUUUGCCUGAAUCGCUGAGGGGAGGUGCAUGG